rnacentral:tRNA from 1 species
GGGGUUUAAGCUGGAUAGUACGUGGCUGUUAGUCACCUACAGAGAAGGUUCGAGUCCUUCCAACCCCA